rnacentral:sRNA from 1 species
UUCGAUCCAAACGUCCAGCGACAACGACGGCGAUAACGACAAGCGCUUGUAGACGCAGCAUUCCAGUCCCUAAUUCAAGAUGACGAAGGGAACUUCUAGCUUCGGCAAGCGCCAUAACAAGACGCACACCCUGUGCAGACGUUGCGGCCGUCGCUCUCUCCACAUCCAAAAGCACACAUGUUCAUCUUGCGGAUAUCCAUCCGCUAAGACUCGGAAAUACAACUGGGCUGAAAAGUCUUUGCGACGAAGAACCACCGGAAGUGGACGCAUGCGAUAUCUCAAAACGGUCGACCGCAAAUUCAAGAACGGGUUCCAAACCGGUACUCCCAAGGGAGCUCGAGGGCCAGAGAAGCAUUAAGGUCAUGUGUGGGUUGAAAAGACGGCUUCCAACGACAAUUCGGGCUAAGGGUUGAAUUAUUAUUUUCCUUUUCCUUGUGGAUGGCCGGGUUGAUUUCUUGUAACGGCUCAGGGGUGUUUUAACUGUUAUUUUUUUUGUUAGCGUGCUAUCAACAUUCGAAAAAAAGAGAAACAACCUAUUUGGCCCAAUGGGAAAUCGCGGGGAUAGAAAAGGAACGUGGCAUGCGCCUUGUGCAUGACUAGUUUAAUGACAUGAUGUCUGCCGUCAAUGUGUUUCUUUUAACAUCAACAAUUCUUGUUAGACUUGGAACUUUUUAAGUUGCCCCCUACAUGCUAUUCCGCAAUCGGUCCGCUUCAUUGGCCCUCUUUCCUUCUCCAACGGUUUUAUGAUUCAUUCAAUGCUUUCAACAGGAGAUUCAAAUGCUGGACCAAAAUUUACACUGAAUUUAUACGAAUUUCAAUCCAUAGCCAAUAACUUCACUCGCCUCUCUCGAAAACGCGAACCGCACCAUCUCCUUGUACAAAAUAUAAUACCUCCUUCUCUUCUAAGCCUGAAUGGUCAUGGCUCUGCCCUUUAUUUGCAAUCCCUACUUCUGGAACCCAUCCACCCCCUCUACUAAUCCGUAGCACUCCGCUGACAUCACCAGCAACACCCGUAUCCAAACCUCUCAGUUGCAUAACCAUCCUAGCUUGAUGCGCCAUCCCCACAACUAAGGAUGCAUGUUCCCUCUCAAGCGGUGUUGGCUGUUGGUGCGUAGACUUGACAGAACCCGCGUGUAUCAGAGGUGAAUCGGCUGCAAGUGUGACAACAGCAGAAUGAACCCGCUGUCGUAACCCCAACAGAAACUCCCCCAUCUCCACCGCUCCAACUCCCAUUCCCGGACCUGUAGCAGCAAGGAGCAAAUCAGGCUGGUCCACCACAAGGAGUACAUCGUUGUCCACCGGCAUUUCAUCCGACGCUCUAUCGUCACUUCUUAAGUCAUUGAUGGCAAAAACAAUCUCCUGCUCCAGUGCAUCUAAUGCUCUGUUCCCCGUACCAGACCAUCGAAGUUUUCUCGACGCAAUUUCGCCAUUCUUCUGUUGGCUAGUUACAGUUGGAAGGCUGGUAGAUGUUGGUCCCCGAGGGGGUAAUACGGUGUGUGGCGGAAUCCGGGCCGGACUUGGUGAACUGCUCGACACUGAACGCCCGGGCACUGGAUCCGGAAAUGUUUGUAUGGGUAAGAAGAGCUCCGAGACCCCGUCUACGAAAGCAAAUCUGCCUUCUUUUGACAGCCUAGCGAGAUCCAGUCCCUAAGUCGAGGGUCAGAGACACGUAAAAAGGGGCGCGUAAGCAAGUUCAUUGACUAGCGGAGCAUGCCGCUGUCAAUUGAAUGUAGAGUGUUUACCCAUUCCUCAUAUCAGAACAGCCAAAUAGAGACAAAAAGAAACAUAUCAAAACUGUACGAUGAUGGGGGAAAGAAACGGAAAGAAAGAAAGAAAGAAACAAAGAAAGAAACAUCCAAAGGUCAUCCAAAAUCAAAAUCAACAAUCCAUACCAUUUUCCGCGCCUCUCCCCUCCAAAACUUCACGGCCCUCAAAAAGCUCACGAAAACUACCCCUCUGACCCUUCUUCGGGCACCCGGGCCGCCAAACUCCAUCUCCUCUCCUCCUCGACCGCUGCCGGACGAUAGAGCAUCGCAGAGGAUCCUUAAAACUAGCCAGUUACUCGUUGCGCCGAGAACGGAGGUGAUAAGGGUGAGGGACUGGGCGGGGAGAGGCGAUGCUGUGUAGGGAGCUAGGAGGGGUGCGGUUGGUGUAGGCAUAUUUCUAAAUUCUUUUCUGUCUUUCUUCCUAGCUAGCGGGAGACGUUCAGGUCGGAUGAGCCUCCUACAUCCGCAGCUUAGUUGUGUAUAUCUCGUGUACAGGGAAGUGUGGGCCAACCCUCCCAGGUUAUCUUGUGGUUAUGUAAAUAAAUAUACUUGUAUAUAUACUUUUACAUCGAGAUGGAUGCAAUGCUUGACUUGCUUCAGGUGAAAUUAAAAAAUGUGGCUGCAAGGAAUUAUGAGCUGAUUGUUUAAGAGAGGUAAGUAGUUAACUACGGGACACAGUUGUUGUCAAUAGAAGAUGAAUAGCAUCACGUCCGAUGGUUGCGUCCAAAAAAAAAAAAAAAGAAAAGAAAAA